UUUGAAUUUUGUAUUUAACAAAAAAAAUUCCUUUACCUUAAACAGAAUCCUGAAUUAGGUGUAAAGAACUUAGAUUAGUUCGGCGGGAAAAAAUUGAUAAUAUGAUGAGUUUAGGUAAUCAUAAAACACAAGAAGGAUUUGAGGAAAUAAAAGCAAUAGAAUCUGGAAUGAAUAAAGGUAGAAAGUAGAUAAAAUUAAAAAAUUGUAUGAAAAAUUUGAUGAUCCGUGGGUGCCAGAAGACUCGGUAAGGCCAGAAGCGCGAGCGUAAGUCAUCUUGAAAAGGCGUAAAGUGUGUGUAGGCAGCUUUGAAAAUCUCUUAACAGGGAAAAACUCAAAGAUUGAAUCAAAUAGAGGUCACAGUCCAGAUAAUUUUGUAAGGAAGGAUACAAUAUGCAGAUUUACAAAGGAAUACUAAUUAGCGAAUGCUCUUUUCCAACUAAUGAUUGACGCUGAGACACGAAGGUGAGGAUCGAAAAUAGAAUUUGGUACUCUGGUAUCCCUAUCUGUAAACGAUGAAUGGUAGUUGCUAGUUUAAGUAUUAGUGGCGAUGAUAACGCGUUAACCAUUCCCGCCUUGUGAGUACGGCCGCAAGCUUGAUAAACAUGAAAAACUUAGUCCGCCGUCGGGGAUUUUUUCCGCC
rnacentral:rRNA from 1 species